UCUCCUCGCGGGGGCGCUGUGUAGUCUCCCGCCGUCACGACGGCGUGAGCCCCGGGCUGCGAGGCCGGCGCUUCCACCACAGCCCGUCGUCCUCGCGGUUGUGUGAGGAGUCCCCGUGCGCUAACAUUCGCAGAGGCGACCUAAGUCGUGACCACUUUCUGUGACAAGUGGCUGCAAAGAUGAUCUGCGCGCAGCGGCAGCGAAAAGAAAACAAAGAAGCAUGACGUGACCCAGGACCCUAAAGAGGCCCCUCCGCCAGCAGUUGUGACAGCCCCCCCCCCCACCCCCACCGUUCUUUCCAGAGCAGACCUGGUGAGUCAGCUGCAACCCCUUGUCUCAGCUCGGAUUUGAACCCCGAACUACAAAAUCUGAAUCCGCCUGCUGUCGCCUGGCCACCCCUUUCAGAAGAUUAGUCUGUUCCAGGCUCGUUUGUCACAGCUGAAAGCAAAGUCUACGAGUGUUAGUUACUUAACCAUCUCCCUGUAGUUGGUGUGAACAAUGCUUACAAAGCCAGAAAGGUGCCGGGCACAGCGGCAAUCACUGAAACUCUACAAAUAAACAAAAACAUUGGUGCAGGCCAGAGUCAUGUGCUCCUACCCUGAUUCUCAGCUGGUCAAAGUCUUACUCCAACCACCUGUGCCCAUGGAGGAGGAGGUGGUUCCUCAGGCGGCGACUGGAUACGUGGUCACCAGGAGAAGAGGGCUGGAGGGCCAGGUGGCCAGGAAACAAAGUCUCCACUAUGCCAGCACAAUCUUUCAGCUCCAGGAUUCCACCUAACGUACAUGAUGGGCAAGCUUUUACAUUUCCUAAGGUAUGGCUGACAUUAUCUAUGCUUAUUACUUCUUAACGACCACCUAAACUUCAGAAGUCUUUCUGCAUAUCCAAGCUCCAUCUCAGAAGUGCUACACUGUGCCUGUCCGAUGCUUAAGGAAAGACCAUCCAAGUCCCCCGGACCCGGCACAAAGGUGACAGAAGUUAUCGGCAAAGGAUUCUGAAAGGGGGGGAUACAGCUGGAGAAGGUUCAGGGCAGCAUCGUGGUAUGAAGCUUGAAUGAACUGGCUAUAAAUCGUAUUAAAGCUGGCAUUUCUUUAUACGUAAAAAGAGUCGGAGUCCCUGAGGAAAGAGAGGCUGUCGUAGGAUUCCCGGAGACAUAAAGACCUUGUCAGUGUUUUCAUGUUCACUUUCAUAAAAUCUCAUUGCUUUUUCAGGCACAAAACUUGAGCUCUGUUAGUUUGAAAUGUCGAACCGUUUCAUCUUUUGUGCGCUCAAAACCGUUCGUAUGAACCAGCUCCUUCUAAAGGUCUCAGCUUUUUCACUCAAGAUCUAUAGGAAAAUAAAUAAUACUAGUUCCAAGUA